CAAGCGUCUGGGGUAUCAGCGCCCCCACUGAUGAGUCUAGGCAGUGACUCCGAGACGAAACGCAUU
rnacentral:hammerhead_ribozyme from 1 species